AACGUAGGAGGCGAGCGUUAUCCGGAUUUACUGGGUGUAAAGCGCGUGCAGGCGGCUCGAUAAGUUGGAUGUGAAAGCUCCCGGCUCAACUGGGAGAGGUCGUACAAGACUGUCGGGCUUGAGGAUGGUAGGGGAAGGUGGAAUUCCGGGUGUAGUGGUGAAAUGCGUAGAUAUCCGGAGGAACACCAGUGGCGAAGGCGGCCUUCUGGACCAUUACUGACGCUCAGACGCGAAAGCUAGGGUAGCAAACGGG
rnacentral:rRNA from 1 species